rnacentral:rRNA from 1 species
CCUACGGGAGGCUGCAGUGAGGAAUAUUGGUCAAUGGACGAGAGUCUGAACCAGCAAAGUAGCGUGAAGGAUGACGGCCCUAUGGGUUGUAAACUUCUUUUAUAUGGGAAUAAAAUGUUCCACGUGUGGGAUUUUGUAUGUACCAUAUGAAUAAGGAUCGGCUAACUCCGUGCCAGCAGCCGCGGUAAUACGGAGGAUCCGAGCGUUAUCCGGAUUUAUUGGGUUUAAAGGGAGCGUAGGUGGAUUGUUAAGUCAGUUGUGAAAGUUUGCGGCUCAACCGGAAAAUUGCAGUUGAAACUGGCAGUCUUGAGUACAGUAGAGGUAGGCGGAAUGCGUGGUGUAGCGGUGAAAUGCUUAGAUAUCACGAAGAACUCCGAUUGCGAAGGCAGUUCACUGGACUGCAACUGACACUGAGGCUCGAAAGUGUGGGUAUCAAACAGGAUUAGAUACCCUAGUAGUC